CUGGACACAAACAAAUUUUCUUGCUCAACUACUACUUGGCUUUGUACCUUCUUCUUUUCCUGUGUGAAAAAGAAGGGCACGAUAACCGGACAAUGACUUACCGGAUUGACUUCUAGAUAUUAAAGCUAACAUGGGACUGCUAAUUUCGUAUAGACUUUGAAUGGAAAAAAUUGAGCAUGUGAGCCCCUGUUGUUUGAGCAUGUUGUACUGGGAUAGAGACUAAUGGCCCAAUGGGGCCUUUGACUGGAAUGAUUAUUGUCAUGCAAUCAUCGGAAAUCAUAUUUAGCCAAACAUAGCACAAGCAAGAGAAUACCUACCUCGUCAUACAAGAAAACUUUCUUUC